rnacentral:lncRNA from 1 species
AGUGUAGUAUGAGCUUUUCCAGCCCAGUAAGAACCCAACAGCCGCACCAGUAAUAAUAAGAAAACAAUCUAAGCAACAAAUAAGUGUUAUUUCGGCUCAAUAAUCAACGAGUAUAUAUAUAAACCAUUACAUUUACAUAAAUACUUUUUUACACAUUAUAUUACUCACUUUCGUAUUAAUCUAAUUUCCAAAUUUUAAGUUUUUCACUUCUGGCUUUGGACUAACCAAAAUCAUAACCUAGUCCAAGACUGUACAAAUCCCACGCAUAAGCUCGUGGCAGCUAUCUCACGCAUAAGCCCGUGGAGGCUAUCCUACAUAUAAGCUCGUAGAAGCUAUCCCACGCGUAAGCCCGUGGAGGCUAUCCCACGCAUCAGCUCGUGGCAGCUAUCCUACGCAUAAGCUCGUAGAGGCUAUCUCAUGACGAGGCUAGUCCAACCCAUUUUACAUGUCU